GCAUCGAUGAAGAACGCAGCAAAAUGCGAUAAGUAAUGUGAAUUGCAGAAUUCAGUGAAUCAUCGAAUCUUUGAACGCACAUUGCGCCCGCCAGUAUUCUGGCGGGCAUGCCUGUCUGAGCGUCAUUUCAACCCUCAGGACCCGUUCGCGGGACCUGGCGUUGGGGAUCAGCCUGCCCCUGGCGGCGGCUGGCCCUGAAAUCCAGUGGCGGUUCCCUCGCGAACUCCUCCGUGCAGUAAUUAAACCUCUCGCGGCAGGAUAGCGGUUGAACCACGCCGUUAAACCCCCCACUUCUCAAGGUUGACCUCAGAUCAGGUAGGAAUACCCGCUGAACUUAAGCAUAUCAAUAAGCGGAGGAA
rnacentral:rRNA from 1 species